UAGCCUGAGGAAACUUGUCCUGACCUGGGGUCGCAUGCUGUAACUAGCUAGGAUAGAUAGGGCUUUGCUUCCAGGCUCGGCCCAAUCAGAGCAGCCUUCUCAAGGAAAGAAAGCCGAGUGCCAGCCUCGGCUGCCCAUACCCUCCAGGCCUGGCUCAGACUCUGAGGAGAGCGAACAGUUUCCACCUGAGGAUGUGCACAUUUUAGAGUAGCUUGCUGGUAACUAUUCACUGCCUGCCAUUGUUGUGAUCGGAGUUGUGUUCGCUCUACCUCUUCCUUUGAGGGAGAACUGCUGGCAUUUUCUUGUGGAGCCUCCUAGGCUGUGAGCAGGGACUGCCUUGUCAUUAAGAUCUCUGAUAACUUCCAUCGGUGCUUUGAUUUCAGCCUGUGUGUACCUUGAUAGAUUUUUAUCUAAGUAUAAAUGAUGAACUACUACAAAUGCUUCUUUUGUGAAAUAGCCUUUGGUUUGUGGCUGGGCAAUGCGUGUAGGUAGGAAAAUAGGAUCAGUUUUUAUGUAUUCACCUGAUAGCCUGUGGCCUUAGUGCAUUUGGUCUAGGGGUUUACAAUGUAGAUCCCCUAGAAUUUUUUACACAGGCAAACAUAUCUUCUUGUGAAUAAGAAUGAGUAAGUAUUUUCUGUUUGUCUCUAAUCUGUAUGCUUUUAUUAUCGUUUCUUGUCGUUAUGCUCUGCUCAACUGUUUUCUUUUUUAAUGAUGCUCUCUUGUGUGUUCUUUUGGGGGACAGAAUGAAGCUAGAACUUGCUUUUUAUCAAUUUACUAAAACUAGAGCUGGAGAAAUGGCUAAGAGCAUUUCCUGCUCAUGGAAAGGACCUGGUUUAGUUUGCAUGUGGCAGCUCACAACUUCCUGUAAUUUCAGUUCCAAGGCAUCUGGUGCUCUCUUGUGGCUUCCACUGGUCCAGGCAUGAACAGAGUGUGCAUACAUAGAUGCAAACAAAUACAAC
rnacentral:lncRNA from 1 species